CAGGCACUGCAGGAGGAGAGUCGCUACCUACGGGCAGUCUUAGCCAACGAGACUGGACUGGCUCGCUUGCUGAGCCGGCUGAGCGGCGUGGGACUGCGGCUGACCACCUCGCUCUUCAGAGACUCGCCCGCCGGUGACCACGACUACGCUCUGCCGGUGGGAAAGCAGAAGCAGGACCUGCUGGAAGAGGACGACUCGGCGGGAGGAGUCUGUCUCCAUGUGGACAAGGAUAAGGUGUCGGUGGAGUUCUGCUCGGCGUGCGCCCGGAAGGCGUCGUCUUCUCUUAAAAUUUUCUUUUUUAGGUGAUUUCCUUCCUGCCAGGCUCCGUUGUAGGGGUUACAGAACAGUCGUUCCCGCCUCACAACCUGACUUGCGUGUACCUAGCUCUUCUGUCCCCAGUGUGGACAUGGCCUUGGAUGACAUCGGUUCCAACUGUACACUGAAACCUGCUUAUAGAGAGACAGUUUGGAGACAGUGAAACAGUGGAUACAGCUGUUGGGGCAGAAGAGACGGGACCAGCUGCUGGCCACAUUUCCUGCUUUAUUUUAAAAGUUAUGGGCUCAAAGAAUUUAUUCAUCUCUAACAUGAUAUUGGAAAAUAAUGGAUGAAAAUAGGAAAAAUGAUUGUUAAUGCUGACUGUGGGUCUUAAAAGGUUCUGGAAAGCACUUAGCAGUGUCUGCAAAAACGAAUCUUUUCCUACAACCUGUUAACUGACUGGACUGUUGGUAACAAAGUAAUUGUGAGAACCAUGUCGGUCAAAAAUUUGGCAUCUGCUGAAAAAAAUGAAUGCCAUUUUCAAGUUCCCAAAUUACUUCUAUACUGAUUUCACUUUCCAGAAAUGGAGAUAUGAAAAGAUUCUCUGGAAUCCUUGAAAGACUUAAUAGAGAUACAUGAGACUAAGUUAAUCUUGGAACAAAAUUAUACUUUU
rnacentral:lncRNA from 1 species